rnacentral:rRNA from 1 species
GAUGAACGCUGGCGGCGUGCCUAAUACAUGCAAGUCGAGCGAACGGACGAGAAGCUUGCUUCUCUGAUGUUAGCGGCGGACGGGUGAGUAACACGUGGAUAACCUACCUAUAAGACUGGGAUAACUUCGGGAAACCGGAGCUAAUACCGGAUAAUAUUUUGAACCGCAUGGUUCAAAAGUGAAAGACGGUCUUGCUGUCACUUAUAGAUGGAUCCGCGCUGCAUUAGCUAGUUGGUAAGGUAACGGCUUACCAAGGCAACGAUGCAUAGCCGACCUGAGAGGGUGAUCGGCCACACUGGAACUGAGACACGGUCCAGACUCCUACGGGAGGCAGCAGUAGGGAAUCUUCCGCAAUGGGCGAAAGCCUGACGGAGCAACGCCGCGUGAGUGAUGAAGGUCUUCGCAUCGUAAAACUCUGUUAUUAGGGAAGAACAUAUGUGUAAGUAACUGUGCACAUCUUGACGGUACCUAAUCAGAAAGCCACGGCUAACUACGUG